UACUAAUCCUAAGCCACUAGCAACCUGCAAGCUUUCUCUCCCAAUUUUGAGAUUUUGGUGCCUAAUAUUCCAUCCACCUGCAUAAAUAACCCCCACUGGUCAACCACUGGACCGAUGUGGUUCAUCUAACUUUGUCUAAUUUACAUACGUGUGUUCAAAUCUGAACUCAAUCGCGUUUAUCUGCCUCGGACAGACAGACCAGCGGUUCCUAGCUAAAAAUUGGUCUCCCUUAGAGAUUCCUAUACUCGACAAGUAAGUGCAUUUUAUAUUUAUCAAUGGGUGCUAUUGUUUGUUUAUUAAAUCAUACUCAACAACUUAACAAUGACUAAAGGUUUAGAAACACGCUUGCAAAUUGAAGUUCUGACGCUACUACUCUUUCGCUAAAUAUGAUCCUGUCAUUCAACAAGUUACCAGAAACUCUGCAAACAGCGCAGCCAAAGAUCUGAAAGAUAUUACAAUCCGUUUGACAUCAGUGCUACAAAGCGAUCACAGGUUCCAAGUAUAGGCUGCCUUAAAUUAAUUAAUUGUGAGCAAUUGGCAACAUGGUCUACAAACAAAAACUUGUGUUUGAAUAGGUGGGUGGAGCAUCAAAGUAUUUUAGAUUCAUCCAGGUCUCCUGCAGUCAUGUCACCCGAACAAGAAACGACACUGGCAUCAUUUGGAAAAGUAGAUAAUCCUAGUCAGCAAUCCCAAGGUCAGGGAGCACAAGUAAUUCCAAUUUCAACUGAAGAAGUGCAGAAGAGACCAGAAGUGGAACCCGAAUUAAGAAAAAACCAUUUGAAGUUAUGGACUUGUUUGCAGCAAACUGCAUGUGCCACUCACAUACGAAUGAAAUGGAAAAAUUUUUGCCGAAUAUUGGAGGAAUCUGAACGUUUCAAUUCUACCAUUUUCGUAAUUUUCGUAACAGCGGUUGUGGUUCUAGGUCUUUGCAUCUUAUUAUUUCCACUCAUUAUGUUUUUACGAAAGACUUUCAAUAAGAAUAAGAAUAUUACAAGGAUUUUUGGAAACAAAAUUACAAUGGAUGGCAAAUAUACGAAGGGUGCCUGGAAUGAUGACUAUUAUUGAUAAAUUUGAAAUUUGCAAUUGAUACUAAGUUUUAAAGAUCAAUCAGAAUAACACAAUCUUACUGUAUGAUAAUCCGAAACCCUUCAAAUCUCUAUCUCAUAUGCGAAAAAAAUCAUGUCAACUUUGAUGAUACUUUGGUACGAUUCUCUCUGUAUUUCGGUUUCAUAAUAAAUAACUGAUUUACUCAUGUUA